GACGAACGCUGGCGGCGUGCUUAACACAUGCAAGUCGAACGGAAAGGCCCUGCUUUUGUGGGGUGCUCGAGUGGCGAACGGGUGAGUAACACGUGAGUAACCUGCCCUUGACUGUGGGAUAACUUCAGGAAACUGGGGCUAAUACCUGAUAGGAGCUCCUGCUGCAUGGGGGGGGUUGGACAGUUUCGGCGGUUGGGGAUGGACUCGCGGCUUAUCAGCUUGUUGGUGGGGUAGUGGCUUACCAAGGCUUUGACGGGUAGCCGGCCUGAGAGGGUGACCGGCCACAUUGGGACUGCGAUACGGCCCAGACUCCUACGGGAGGCAGCAGUGGGGAAUAUUGCACAAUGGGCGGAAGCCUGAUGCAGCAACGCCGCGUGCGGGAUGACGGCCUUCGGGUUGUAAACCGCUUUCGCCUGUGACGAAGCGUGAGUGACGGUAAUGGGUAAAGAAGCACCGGCUAACUACGUG
rnacentral:rRNA from 1 species